CCUACGGGAGGCUGCAGUGAGGAAUAUUGGUCAAUGGACGAGAGUCUGAACCAGCCAAGUAGCGUGAAGGAUGACUGCCCUAUGGGUUGUAAACUUCUUUUAUAUGGGAAUAAAAUGUUCCACGUGUGGGAUUUUGUAUGUACCAUAUGAAUAAGGAUCGGCUAACUCCGUGCCAUCAGCCGCGGUAAUACGGAGGAUCCGAGCGUUAUCCGGAUUUAUUGGGUUUAAAGGGAGCGUAGGUGGAUUGUUAAGUCAGUUGUGAAAGUUUGCGGCUCAACCGUAAAAUUGCAGUUGAAACUGGCAGUCUUGAGUACAGUAGAGGUGGGCGGAAUUCGUGGUGUAGCGGUGAAAUGCUUAGAUAGCACGAAGAACUCCGAUUGCGAAGGCAGCUCACUGGACUGCAACUGACACUGAGGCUCGAAAGUGUGGGUAUCAAACAGGAUUAGAUACCCUUGUAGUC
rnacentral:rRNA from 1 species